UGAAGUCCCUUCGACCGCCAAGCGUUCAGAUAUCCUCGAAAAUCCAGAACUAGGGUUUAUUCGGCCAAUCACUUCUCAAGUAAAGUAAAUCUCAUCUCAACAAUAUUCGUUUUCUGGAUAAGAAAUCGUGAAAUUUGAUAGUUCUAAUAUCUUUCUAAUUUCUUAUUUUCCUUUCGUUUAAAGCAUGGCUGGAGAUGGAAAUGAGAUCAUUCUCAAUGGCCAAAUUACUUCAUUUAUGCUAAUUAGCUUAGAUUUUUAUAAGAAAAUUAAGUGUAAGACAUCAUUUGAUUGCAAUCAAAAAUUUACCAGUGAUUGUGCUUUUCCCGAGUGCCGAUGAUGACUCCGUAGGCUUGUAAUGAUUGUGGAGAUGAACACAAAAUUUUUUUAUCAAAUUUUAUCGGUCUGAGGCUCGUCCAUUCAAUUCAACAUAUUAAAUUUGAUUUUCUUGUUUGGUUUGUACUUUCAGCUAAGAAACUUUUAUUUACUGCUAAAGUUAUCUUUUCUUAUGUUGAGCAUAAGCUUGUAACGGUGUCAUUAUAUGUAGUGUUACUCAGCCAUCAUUUGGAAACAAAUAAUGGAUGCCAAUGAUGAUUUCGUAGGCUUGUAAUGACUGUGGUGAUGAUCACAUGCUUUACUUUACAAACAACAGUCUGAGGCUAUAUUCUUCUUUGUAAUCCUUGUGUUAUAGCAAUGAACGGGAAAGGAUAUAGAGAGGACCGUAGGAAACUAGAGUUUGGAUGAGUUACUUUUUCUUUUAAGUAAAAGUAUUGCUUAUUGUAUGAUUAACUCAUUUGUCAAAAUAAGUAACCUUCUUAUUUUCAAGUUUGAUUAAUUAAAAGAUCUCACCUGCUCAUUUCCCAAACUCAUAUGGUUAUUUAGGCUUUUCCAAGUUGUGACAUCUGUAUUCUGUGCUGCAGAUGGUUAACUCUCUAUUUGGUGCUUAGUGGAUUUUUUUGAUAUAAAUGGAUGCCAAUGAUGACUUCGUAGGCUUGUAAUGAUUGUGGAGAUGACCACAUUUUUUACUCUGCAAACAAUACUUUCUGAGGCGUUAUUCUUCUUUGUAAUGCUUGUGCUAAUGAGGCAUGGCUGGCUUGAUGAUUACUAAUGUUAACAAUGAUUGGUUGCAACUAGUUAUAUUCCUAUCCCUUCCCUCGAACGAAAAGGAAAAAUACAUUUUUAUGAAGAAAAAUCUGUUGUACUUUUUAUGCAUAGUUGAUUUAUGGAGGAAGUGAUAAAUCUAUUAGAAUUAUAUAUUCUGGUUGCAUAUUUUCGUAUGAUGAUACACGGUCAUGAAAUAUAGACAUUCAUUUUUUAUUUAUUUAUUUUUAUUUUUUAUUUUUUUUGGCAUUUGAAGGAUUUAGGUCAUGUUUUCUGAUUAAUCUUUCUAGUUGAUAUCCAUGUUAUUCAUAUGAAUUUCUAUUCCAUUUUGGAGAUGACCUUCAUUGCGGAAGGACAUCUUGGGGGACUUCCAGUAGAAGAUUUGUUCAAUGAAGUUACUCAACUGUAGAUAUUAGCCACUGUGGAUGUCGGUAACGACUCUAAUUGUUCUAAUGAAAGUUUAGCAUUGUUCAAUGGAAGCUGCUUUCUUUUGUAUUUAUGGUCGUUCGAUAACCAGUGGUGACAAUGCUUGUGAGCACGUGAGGAGGAUGAAAAGCUGGAAUUUCUUGUAUUAAUGAUGUUUUUUUGUAGUUAUUUUAUAUUUAUGACUUUUUUGGUAAGGUACACUAUGAUAAAAUCUUAUAAACUAAAUGGAAAUCGAAAUGUACAGGCCAUAUGCACAUGGAGUACAUUGUAAUUUGUGCGGUAGUUCAUGGAAGAUUCAAUCUUGACAUAUUGAAAUUAGUUUUGUUCAUUUCUUA